rnacentral:tRNA from 1 species
GCUCUCGUAGCUCAGUAGGUAGAGUGCCACCUUGGUAAGGUGGAGGUCGUCGGUUCAAUCCCGAUCGAGAGCU